GACGAACGCUGGCGGCGUGCUUAACACAUGCAAGUCGAACGGAAAGGCCCUGCUUUUGUGGGGUGCUCGAGUGGCGAACGGGUGAGUAACACGUGAGUAACCUGCCCUUGACUUUGGGAUAACUUCAGGAAACUGGGGCUAAUACCGGAUAGGAGCUCCUGAUGCAUGGUGGGGGUUGGAAAGUUUCGGCGGUUGGGGAUGGACUCGCGGCUUAUCAGCUCGUUGGUGGGGUAGUGGCUUACCCAGGCUUUGACGGGUAGCCGGCCUGAGAGGGUGACCGGCCACAUUGGGACUGAGAUACGGCCCAGACUCCUACGGGAGGCAGCAGUGGGGAAUAUUGCACAAUGGGCGGAAGCAUGAUGCAGCAACGCCGCGUGCGGGAUGACGGCCUUCGGGUUGUAAACCGCUUUCGCCUGUGACGAAGCGUGAGUGACGGUAAUGGGUAAAGAAGCACCGGCUAACUACGUG
rnacentral:rRNA from 1 species